rnacentral:rRNA from 1 species
AUUGAACGCUGGCGGCAGGCCUAACACAUGCAAGUCGAGCGGCAGCGACUUAACUGAACCUUCGGGGAACGUUAAGGGCGGCGAGCGGCGGACGGGUGAGUAAUGCCUGGGAAUAUGCCCUGAUGUGGGGGAUAACUAUUGGAAACGAUAGCUAAUACCGCAUAAUCUCUUCGGAGCAAAGAGGGGGACCUUCGGGCCUCUCGCGUCAGGAUUAGCCCAGGUGGGAUUAGCUUGUUGGUGAGGUAAUGGCUCACCAAGGCAACGAUCCCUAGCUGGUCUGAGAGGAUGAUCAGCCACACUGGAACUGAGACACGGUCCAGACUCCUACGGGAGGCAGCAGUGGGGAAUAUUGCACAAUGGGGGAAACCCUGAUGCAGCCAUGCCGCGUGUGUGAAGAAGGCCUUCGGGUUGUAAAGCACUUUCAGUAGGGAGGAAGGUAGUGUAGUUAACACCUGCAUUAUUUGACGUUACCUACAGAAGAAGCACCGGCUAACUCCGUGCCAGCAGCCGCGGUAAUACGGAGGGUGCGAGCGUUAAUCGGAAUUACUGGGCGUAAAGCGCAUGCAGGCGGCCUGUUAAGUCAGAUGUGAAAGCCCGGGGCUUAACCUCGGAAUUGCAUUUGAAACUGGCAGGCUAGAGUCUUGUAGAGGGGGGUAGAAUUUCAGGUGUAGCGGUGAAAUGCGUAGAGAUCUGAAGGAAUACCAGUGGCGAAGCGGCCCCCUGGACAAAGACUGACGCUCAGAUGCGAAAGCGUGGGGAGCAAACAGG